rnacentral:misc_RNA from 1 species
ACCUCGAUCCCAAGCACCAAGGAGCCGACGAUUUGGAUCAAGACCUACAUCCCAAGCACCAAGGUGCCUGGUUGAUAUGGAUCGCGAUCCCGAUCCGGAGCUCCAGGGCGCCGAGGAUUUCGAUCACGAUCCCGAUCUGAAGCACCGAGUAGCCCAGGAUAUGGAUCAAGACAUCGGUCCGAAGCGAUAAGGAGGCAAGGAUAUGGAAAAGUCCAAGCCUCUUCAGUUGUGGUACAACGCCUUGUUUGUCUUGUGCAUACGGUGGGUUUCCUGUGUUGCAUACCUAAUCAAGGGCAUCGUAUGGCUUGAUCGAAGUAAAUAUUCGUAAUGUGCCGCUUGCGGCGUUGCACGAACCUCGAAGCGGCCUCUGUGGCCCAUGUUGUCUUUGCUCACGCAUGGAUGGCAUGGCCCUUGGAGCGUCGCUUCGUCUCUUGGAUACGGAACCUGAUGAUGUGGGCGGUAGGGUCUUGGAUGAUUCUACCUUCGC